rnacentral:rRNA from 1 species
GAUGAACGCUAGCUACAGGCUUAACACAUGCAAGUCGAGGGGAAACGACAUCGAAAGCUUGCUUUUGAUGGGCGUCGACCGGCGCACGGGUGAGUAACGCGUAUCCAACCUGCCCAUCACUUGGGAAUAACCUUGCGAAAGUAAGACUAAUACCCAAUGAUAUCCCACGAAGGCAUCGGAAUGGGAUUAAAGAUUUAUCGGUGAUGGAUGGGGAUGCGUCUGAUUAGCUUGUUGGCGGGGUAACGGCCCACCAAGGCAACGAUCAGUAGGGGUUCUGAGAGGAAGGUCCCCCACAUUGGAACUGAGACACGGUCCAAACUCCUACGGGAGGCAGCAGUGAGGAAUAUUGGUCAAUGGGCGAGGGCCUGAACCAGCCAAGUAGCGUGCAGGAAGACGGCCCUAUGGGUUGUAAACUGCUUUUAUAAGGGAAUAAAGUGGGUCACGUGUGACUUUUUGCAUGUACCUUAUGAAUAAGGACCGGCUAAUUCCGUG